rnacentral:rRNA from 1 species
UACGGAGGGGGCAAGCGUUAUUCGGAAUCAUUGGGCGUAAAGGGCGCGUAGGCGGCUUGGCAAGUCAAAGGUGAAAUCCCUCGGCUUAACCGGGGAACUGCAUCUGAUACUGGAUGGCUUGAGUUCGGGAGAGGGAUGCGGAAUUCCAGGUGUAGCGGUGAAAUGCGCAGAUAUCAGGAGGAACACCGGUGGCGAAGGCGGGUCUCUGGGCAACAACUGACGCUGAGGAGCGAAAGCGUGGGGAGCGAACAGG